rnacentral:rRNA from 1 species
UACAGAGGUCCCGAGCGUUGUUCGGAUUCACUGGGCGUAAAGGGUGCGUAGGUGGUGAGGUAAGUCGGAUGUGAAAUCUCCGGGCUCAACCCGGAAAUGGCAUUGGAAACUACCUUGCUGGAGGAUUUGAGGGGGGAUUGGAAUACUUGGUGUAGCAGUGAAAUGCGUAGAUAUCGAAGUGGAACACCAGUGGCGAAGGCGAAUCCCUGGAAAAUACCUGACACUGAGGCACGAAAGCUAGGGGAGCAAACAGG